AUACGGAGGAUCCGAGCGUUAUCCGGAUUUAUUGGGUUUAAAGGGAGCGUAGGUGGACAGUUAAGUCAGUUGUGAAAGUUUGCGGCUCAACCGUAAAAUUGCAGUUGAUACUGGCUGUCUUGAGUACUGUAGAGGUGGGCGGAAUUCGUGGUGUAGCGGUGAGAUGCUUAGAUAUCACGAAGAACUCCGAUUGCGAAGGCAGCUCACUGGACUGCAACUGACACUGAUGCUCGAAAGUGUGGGUAUCAAACAGGAUUAGAUACCCUGGUAGUCCACACAGUAAACGAUGAAUACUCGCUGUUUGCGAUAUACAGUAAGCGGCCAAGCGAAAGCAUUAAGUAUUCCACCUGGGGAGUACGCCGGCAACGGUGAAACUCAAAGGAAUUGACGGGG
rnacentral:rRNA from 1 species